rnacentral:rRNA from 1 species
ACUUUCAGCGACGGAUGUCUUGGCUCCGACUACGAUGAAGAACGCAGCGAAAUGCGAUACGUCUUGCGACUUGCAGAAUCCAGUGAAUCAUCAAAACUUUGAACGCACCUUGCGCUUCCGGGAAGUCCCUGGGAGCAUGCUUGUCGGAGCGUC